rnacentral:rRNA from 1 species
AACGAACGCUGGCGGCAGGCCUAACACAUGCAAGUCGAGCGAGCAUUUCGGUGCUAGCGGCGGACGGGUGAGUAACGCGUGGGAACGUGCCCUUUUCUGCGGAAUAGUCCUGGGAAACUGGGGGUAAUACCGCAUACGCCCUUUUGGGGAAGGAUUUAUCGGAGAAGGAUCGGCCCGCGUUGGAUUAGGUAGUUGGUGGGGUAAUGGCCCACCAAGCCGACGAUCCAUAGCUGGUUUGAGAGGAUGAUCAGCCACACUGGGACUGAGACACGGCCCAGACUCCUACGGGAGGCAGCAGUGGGGAAUCUUAGACAAUGGGGGCAACCCUGAUCUAGCCAUGCCGCGUGAGUGAUGAAGGCCUUAGGGUUGUAAAGCUCUUUCAGCUGGGAAGAUAAUGACGGUACCAGCAGAAGAAGCCCCGGCUAACUCCGUG